AUUGAACGCUGGCGGCAUGCUUUACACAUGCAAGUCGAACGGCAGCGGGGGCUUCGGCCUGGCGGCGAGUGGCGAACGGGUGGGUAAUGCAUCGGAACGUGCCCAGUAGUGGGGGAUAGCCCGGCGAAAGCCGGAUUAAUACCGCAUACGACCUGAGGGUGAAAGCGGGGGACCGAAAGGCCUCGCGCUAUUGGAGCGGCCGAUGUCGGAUUAGCUAGUUGGUGGGGUAAAGGCUUACCAAGGCGACGAUCCGUAGCUGGUCUGAGAGGACGACCAGCCACACUGGGACUGCGACACGGCCCAGACUCCUACGGGAGGCAGCAGUGGGGAAUUUUGGACAAUGGGGGCAACCCUGAUCCAGCCAUGCCGCGUGCGGGAAGAAGGCCUUCGGGUUGUAAACCGCUUUUGUUCGGGAAGAAAUCCUCUGGGCUAAUACCCCGGGGGGAUGACGGUACCGGAAGAAUAAGCACCGGCUAACUACGUG
rnacentral:rRNA from 1 species